rnacentral:rRNA from 1 species
AUUGAACGCUAGCGGGAUGCCUUACACAUGCAAGUCGAACGGAGUGGCGAACGGGUGAGUGAUGUAUCGGAACGUGCCCAGUAGCGGGGGAUAACUACGCGAAAGCGUAGGUAAUACCUCAUACUAUUGGUGGGGCCGAUAUCGGAUUAGCUAGUUGGUUGGGUAACGGCUCACAAAGGCGACGAUCCGUAGCUGGUUUGAGAGGACGACCAGCCAAACUGGGACUGAGACACGGCCCAGACUCCUACGGGAGGAAGCAGUGGGGAAUAUUGGACAAUGGGGGAAACCCUGAUCCAGCCAUCCCGCGUGUGCGAUGAAGGCCUUCGGGUUGUAAAGCACUUUUGGCAGGAAAGCGGUACCUGCAGAAUAAGCACCGGCUAACUACGUGCCAGCAGCCGCGGUAAUUC